AGUGAACGCUGGCGGUAGGCCUAACACAUGCAAGUCGAACGGCAGCACAGUAAGAGCUUGCUCUUACGGGUGGCGAGUGGCGGACGGGUGAGGUAUACAUCGGAAUCUACUUUUUCGUGGGGGCUAACGUAGGGAAACUUACGCUAAUACCGCAUACGCCCUACGGGUGAAAGCAGGGGAUCUUCGGACCUUGGGCGAUUGAAUGAGCCGAUGUCGGAUUAGCUAGUUGGCGGGGUAAAGGCCCACCAAUGCGACGAUCCGUAGCUGGUCUGAGAUGAUGAUCAGCCACACUGGAACUGAGACACGGUCCAGACUCCGACGGGAGGCAGCAGUGGGGAAUAUUUGACAAUGGGCGCAAGCCUGAUCCAGCCAUACCGCGUGAGUGAAGAAGGCCUUCGGGUUGUAAAGCCCUUUUGUUGGGAAAGAAAAGCAGCAGGUUAAUACCCCGCUGUUCUGACGGUACCCAAAGAAUAAGCACCGGCUAACUUCGUG
rnacentral:rRNA from 1 species